UUGACGUUCAUCGUCGUGUGCGAGGCUUUUCUCCGGAUCCCACCUCACUUCGGCCUAUGGCUGAAGAUCUUCAACGUGAAGCCCAAGGUAGUGAAUGGCGACCACGCCGAGUGCGGCGGCGCCAUGGUGAGCAAGAUGCCCAUAGUUGUUUGGCCGACGGGUGCUUUCAACGACUCCGUCAAGGAGUGGCAGCAACAGUGGUUCUAUAUCACCGAACCACGCGGCAAAAAGUGGGCCGCAGCUCCUGAGUUCAGAUCUGGAGCUCCACUGCGGCUCACGUCCUGGCCCAAGAAGGGCCCGAACUGGUGCUCGUCCGAUGAGCUGUCACUGCUCCAGACGCGCGUUCAGAGUAAAGUCGACAGGGGCGUUAAGCUCGCCGACGUUGUCCAGGUGAUGUUAGUUCGCCUGGUUCUCCCUUGCCAGCGCCGAGUCUGCCAUUUGUGGGAGUAUGAUCCA
rnacentral:rRNA from 1 species